rnacentral:rRNA from 1 species
AAACGUAGGAGGCGAGCGUUAUCCGGAUUUACUGGGCGUAAAGCGCGUGCAGGCGGUAAUGCAAGUUGGGCGUGAAAUCUCCUGGCUUAACUAGGAGGGGUCGUCCAAUACUGCAUCACUUGAGGGUAGGAGAGGGAAGUGGAAUUCCCGGUGUAGCGGUAAUAUGCGCAGAUAUCGGGAGGAACACCAGUGGCGAAGGCGGCUUCCUGGCCUACUUCUGACGCUAAGACGCGAAAGCUAGGGUAGCGAACAGAAUUAGAUACUCUGGUAGUCCUAGCUGUAAACGAUGGAUACUAGGUGUUGGUGGUAUUGACCCCACCAGUGCCGAAGCUAACGCGUUAAGUAUCCCGCCUGGGGACUACGGCCGCAAGGCUAAA